GAUGAAGAACGUAGCGAAAUGCGAUAAGUAAUGUGAAUUGCAGAAUUCAGUGAAUCAUCGAGUCUUUGAACGCACAUUGCGCCCCCUGGUAUUCCGGGGGGCAUGCCUGUCCGAGCGUCAUUGCUGCCCUUCAAGCCCGGCUUGUGUGUUGGGUCGUCGUCCCCCCCGGGGGACGGGCCCGAAAGGCAGCGGCGGCACCGCGUCCGGUCCUCGAGCGUAUGGGGCUUUGUCACCCGCUCGAUUAGGGCCGGCCGGGCGCCAGCCGGCGUCUCCAACCUUCUAUUUUACCAGGUUGACCUCGGAUCAGGUAGGGAUACCCGCUGAACUUAAGCAUAUCAUAAGCGGAGGA
rnacentral:misc_RNA from 1 species